GUCUACGACCAUGCCACUCUGAACAAGCCCGAUCUCAGAAGCUAAGCAGGGUCGGGCCUGGUUAGUACUUGGAUGGGAGACCACCUAGGAUGAACAGGUGCUGUAGGCA
rnacentral:rRNA from 1 species